UGGGGAAUUUUCCGCAAUGGGCGAAAGCCUGACGGAGCAAUGCCGCGUCGAGGUGGAAGGCCUACGGGUCGUCAACUUCUUUUCUCGGAGAAGAAACAAUGACGGUAUCUGAGGAAUAAGCAUCGGCUAACUCUGUGCCA
rnacentral:rRNA from 1 species